rnacentral:lncRNA from 1 species
CAGGCCCGCUGUCCAUGGUCUGCCCUCAUCCGUGAACAAACCCACUCUCCACACCAGCGCCGGCCUGCUCUCCCGACCCAGACAUCUCAUCCACCCCGGGGCUCGAAACACCUCCUGGACGGGUCCCCAGCAAGUGACAUCGAGUGAGGGGCUGAGAUGGAACACUCAGGGUUUGCCUUCCCUUGUGAGGCAGUCGGUUUGGGGUGCCGCUUGCUUUUCAUGGAGUGAUUACUUUUCCAAUGAAAGCGGAGGGCCGUCGUUUGACGCACCGCGUAGGGAUAAACGGAAGUGGCUGCGGAGAGCAAGGCUUCUGCGUCCGGUGUCUGUGUCUGUGUCCGUGUCUCCUCAGUGGAUCCUGCAGCUCUGUCUCCGGGGAGCGGUUGAUUCUCCAGAAAAUAUGACACUUUGUUUCCUGCCCUUGCUUGUUAACACACCCCAUUACCACCCAUCUCAGUUUCAUGGAACUGCCAGCCGGCAUUAACGCCCUCCUCCUCCUCACCGAGGCAGAAAAUAGAAAAGGGAGAAUUCAGCAGAUUUUCCCCCGUGGCACCCUCGGCGGCACCAAGAUAACCAGAGCAGAAACCACAAUUGGAUCCUUAUUCCUGCAGCCUGCGGAAUGUGAAGGACGGACAGGAGAUGCUGUAGACCGUCCCCGCCAGCUGUGGGCGCCCAGGGCCAUCAGCCAAGAACGUUGGGGCAUGCGACCCUGGGUACAACAGGCUGACUCGGUGUCCCUGCGUGCCGCACGGCCGAGACAGCGGGGGAGUCGGCGUUGGUGGAGAUUCCUAGCGCCAGGCCCUGUGCGCACAGGUAUCCCACCCACAGUAUCCAACAACCGUCCCAAAG